UACGUAGGAUGCAAGCGUUGUCCGGAAUUACUGGGCGUAAAGGGCGAGCAGGUGGCACUACAAGUCUGAUGUAAAAUCUCCCGGCUUAACUGGGAGGGGCCAUUGGAAACUGUAGAGCUGGAGUGCAGGAGAGGCUAACGGAAUUCCCGGUGUAGUGGUGAAAUUCGUAGAUAUUCGGAAGAACACCAGUGGCGAAGGCGGCUCACUGGACUGGUAUUGACGCUGAGGUGCGAAAGCGUGGGGAGCAAACAGG
rnacentral:rRNA from 1 species